AGACCCGAAACCCGGUGAUCUAGCCAUGGGCAGGUUGAAGGUUGGGUAACACUAACUGGAGGACCGAACCGACUAAUGUUGAAAAAUUAGCGGAUGACCUGUGGCUGGGGGUGAAAGGCCAAUCAAACCGGGAGAUAGCUGGUUCUCCCCGAAAGCUAUUUAGGUAGCGCCUCGUGAAUUCAUCUCCGGGGGUAGAGCACUGUUUCGGCUAGGGGGCCAUCCCGGCUUACCAACCCGAUGCAAACUGCGAAUACCGGAGAAUGUUAUCACGGGAGACACACGGCGGGUGCUAACGUCCGUCGUGAAGAGGGAAACAACCCAGACCGCCAGCUAAGGUCCCAAAGUCAUGGUUAAGUGGGAAACGAUGUGGGAAGGCCCAGACAGCCAGGAUGUUGGCUUAGAAGCAGCCAUCAUUUAAAGAAAGCGUAAUAGCUCACUGGUCGAGUCGGCCUGCGCGGAAGAUGUAACGGGGCUAAACCAUGCACCGAAGCUGCGGCAGCGAACGUAUCACCCAAGACAACUUUACGGAGUUGACGAUUGACGGAGCGAAGCGACGUCAAAGCGUUCAUUAAAGUCGAGUUGGCUUAGGGAUACGUUCGUUGGGUAGGGGAGCGUUCUGUAAGCCUGUGAAGGUGUGUCGUGAGGCAUGCUGGAGGUAUCAGAAGUGCGAAUGCUGACAUAAGUAACGAUAAAGCGGGUGAAAAGCCCGCUCGCCGGAAGACCAAGGGUUCCUGUCCAACGUUAAUCGGGGCAGGGUGAGUCGACCCCUAAGGCGAGGCCGAAAGGCGUAGUCGAUGGGAAACGGGUUAAUAUUCCCGUACUUGGUGUUACUGCGAAGGGGGGACGGAGAAGGCUAUGUUGGCCGGGCGACGGUUGUCCCGGUUUAAGCGUGUAGGUGUGUGUUCCAGGUAAAUCCGGUUCACUUUAACACUGAGGCGUGACGACGAGGCACUACGGUGCUGAAGCAACAAAUGCCCUGCUUCCAGGAAAAGCCUCUAAGCAUCAGGUAACAUCAAAUCGUACCCCAAACCGACACAGGUGGUCAGGUAGAGAAUACCAAGGCGCUUGAGAGAACUCGGGUGAAGGAACUAGGCAAAAUGGUGCCGUAACUUCGGGAGAAGGCACGCUGACACGUAGGUGAAGUGAUUUACUCAUGGAGCUGAAGUCAGUCGAAGAUACCAGCUGGCUGCAACUGUUUAUUAAAAACACAGCACUGUGCAAACACGAAAGUGGACGUAUACGGUGUGACGCCUGCCCGGUGCCGGAAGGUUAAUUGAUGGGGUCAGCGUAAGCGAAGCUCCUGAUCGAAGCCCCGGUAAACGGCGGCCGUAACUAUAACGGUCCUAAGGUAGCGAAAUUCCUUGUCGGGUAAGUUCCGACCUGCACGAAUGGCGUAAUGAUGGCCAGGCUGUCUCCACCCGAGACUCAGUGAAAUUGAACUCGCUGUGAAGAUGCAGUGUACCCGCGGCAAGACGGAAAGACCCCGUGAACCUUUACUAUAGCUUGACACUGAACAUUGAGCCUUGAUGUGUAGGAUAGGUGGGAGGCUUUGAAGUGUGGACGCCAGUCUGCAUGGAGCCGACCUUGAAAUACCACCCUUUAAUGUUUGAUGUUCUAACGUGGACCCGUAAUCCGGGUUGCGGACAGUGUCUGGUGGGUAGUUUGACUGGGGCGGUCUCCUCCUAAAGAGUAACGGAGGAGCACGAAGGUUGGCUAAUCCUGGUCGGACAUCAGGAGGUUAGUGCAAUGGCAUAAGCCAGCUUGACUGCGAGCGUGACGGCGCGAGCAGGUGCGAAAGCAGGUCAUAGUGAUCCGGUGGUUCUGAAUGGAAGGGCCAUCGCUCAACGGAUAAAAGGUACUCCGGGGAUAACAGGCUGAUACCGCCCAAGAGUUCAUAUCGACGGCGGUGUUUGGCACCUCGAUGUCGGCUCAUCACAUCCUGGGGCUGAAGUAGGUCCCAAGGGUAUGGCUGUUCGCCAUUUAAAGUGGUACGCGAGCUGGGUUUAGAACGUCGUGAGACAGUUCGGUCCCUAUCUGCCGUGGGCGCUGGAGAACUGAGGGGGGCUGCUCCUAGUACGAGAGGACCGGAGUGGACGCAUCACUGGUGUUCGGGUUGUCAUGCCAAUGGCACUGCCCGGUAGCUAAAUGCGGAAGAGAUAAGUGCUGAAAGCAUCUAA
rnacentral:rRNA from 1 species